UACAGAGGUCUCAAGCGUUGUUCGGAUUCAUUGGGCGUAAAGGGCGCGUAGGCGGCGCGGUAAGUCGGAUGUGAAAUCUCGGAGCUUAACUUCGAAACUGCAUUCGAUACUGCCGUGCUUGAGGACUGGAGAGGAGACUGGAAUUUACGGUGUAGCGGUGAAAUGCGUAGAUAUCGUAAGGAAGACCAGUGGCGAAGGCGGGUCUCUGGACAGUUCCUGACGCUGAGGCACGAAGGUCAGGGGAGCAAACGGG
rnacentral:rRNA from 1 species